GACGAACGCUGGCGGCGUGCCUAAUACAUGCAAGUCGUACGCUUCUUUUUCCACCGGAGCUUGCUCCACCGGGAAAAGAGGAGUGGCGAACGGGUGAGUAACACGUGGGUAACCUGCCCAUCAGAAGGGGAUAACACUUGGAAACAGGUGCUAAUACCGUAUAACAAUCGAAACCGCAUGGUUUUGAUUUGAAAGGCGCUUUCGGGUGUCACUGAUGGAUGGACCCGCGGUGCAUUAGCUAGUUGGUGAGGUAACGGCUCACCAAGGCCACGAUGCAUAGCCGACCUGAGAGGGUGAUCGGCCACAUUGGGACUGAGACACGGCCCAAACUCCUACGGGAGGCAGCAGUAGGGAAUCUUCGGCAAUGGACGAAAGUCUGACCGAGCAACGCCGCGUGAGUGAAGAAGGUUUUCGGAUCGUAAAACUCUGUUGUUAGAGAAGAAUAAGGAUGAGAGUAACUGUUCAUCCCUUGACGGUAUCUAACCAGAAAGCCACGGCUAACUACGUGCCAGCAGCCGCGGUAAUACGUAGGUGGCAAGCGUUGUCCGGAUUUAUUGGGCGUAAAGCGAGCGCAGGCGGUUUCUUAAGUCUGAUGUGAAAGCCCCCGGCUCAACCGGGGAGGGUCAUUGGAAACUGGGAGACUUGAGUGCAGAAGAGGAGAGUGGAAUUCCAUGUGUAGCGGUGAAAUGCGUAGAUAUAUGGAGGAACACCAGUGGCGAAGGCGGCUCUCUGGUCUGUAACUGACGCUGAGGCUCGAAAGCGUGGGGAGCAAACAGGAUUAGAUACCCUGGUAGUCCACGCCGUAAACGAUGAGUAAUAAGUGUUGGAGGGUUCCGCCCUUCAGUGCUGCAGCUAACGCAU
rnacentral:rRNA from 1 species